CCUACGGGAGGCAGCAGUAGGGAAUCUUCCGCAAUGGACGAAAGCCUGAUGGAGCAACGCCGCGUGGGUGAAGAAGGUCUUCGGAUCGUAAAACCCUGUUGUUAGAGAAGAAAGUGCGUGAGAGUAACUGUUCACGUUUCGACGGUAUCUAACCAGAAAGCCACGGCUAACUACGUGCCAGCAGCCGCGGUAAUACGUAGGUGGCAAGCGUUAUCCGGAUUUAUGGGGGGUAAAGGGAACGCAGGCGGGCAUGUAAUUCUGAUGUGAAGGCCUUGGGCUUAACCGGAGUAGUGCAUUGGAAACUGGGAGACUUGAGUGCAGAAGAGGAGAGUGGAACUCCAAGUGUAGCGGUGGAAUGCGUAGAUAUAAGGAAGAACACCAGUGGCGAAAGCGGCUGUCUGGUCUGUAACUGACGCUGAGGUUCGAAAGCGUGGGUAGCAAACAGGAUUAGAUACCCUUGUAGUC
rnacentral:rRNA from 1 species